rnacentral:rRNA from 1 species
GGGGGGGGGGGGGGGGGGGGCGGGGGGGGGCGGGGCGGGGGGGGGAGGGGGGCUGGCUCCUGGGGUCAGCGGCGGACGGGUGAGUAAUGCCUAGGAAUCUGCCUGGUGGUGGGGGAUAACGUCCGGAAACGGGCGCUAAUACCGCAUACGUCCUGAGGGAGAAAGUGGGGGAUCUUCGGACCUCACGCUAUCAGAUGAGCCUAGGUCGGAUUAGCUAGUUGGUGGGGUAAAGGCCUACCAAGGCGACGAUCCGUAACUGGUCUGAGAGGAUGAUCAGUCACACUGGAACUGAGACACGGGCCAGACUCCUACGGGAGGCAGCAGUGGGGAAUAUUGGACAAUGGGCGAAAGCCUGAUCCAGCCAUGCCGCGUGUGUGAAGAAGGUCUUCGGAUUGUAAAGCACUUUAAGUUGGGAGGAAGGGCAGUAAGUUAAUACCUUGCUGUUUUGACGUUACCAACAGAAUAAGCACCGGCUAACUUCGUG